UGAAGAGGGGUCUCUGGAAAGUUCUGCAGCCGCCAUAAUGAAGCCGUCAACUUCUACAAGGAGCUCCUCACCAAAGACAAACGCUUCAAGGCUUUCAUUAAAAAAAAAGAUGAGCAGCAGCGUUGUGCGGAGGCUUGGCAUCCCAGAAUGCAUCUUGCUUGUGACUCAGAGGAUAACGAAGUAUCCGGUGCUGUUUCAGAGAAUGCUGCAUUACACUAAAGGUUGGCUCGUUUCUCAGUUACACACAGUCAGAGCUGGUCGUUUGCAGUGAUUACAUGAGGUUUCAUC